GUACCUUCGAUAAUUAAUUAAACAUCUCUUAAUUAGUAUGAGUAUACCCCAUAAUAUACUAACGAAGGUAAAUUUUGACUCCCUUUAGUAGUGGAUCCAUGCGAGCAACGUAUGGGUCCUUUUU
rfam:Staphylococcus capitis strain CR03 genome assembly, contig: BN1517_Contig_4